rnacentral:misc_RNA from 1 species
UACGUAGGGGGCGAACGUUGUCCGGAUUUAUUGGGCGUAAAGAGCUCGUAGGCGGCUCAGCAAGCCGGUUGUGAAAGCCCCGGGCUCAACCUGGGAACGGCAUCCGGAACUGUUUAGCUAGAGUGCAGGAGAGGAAGGUAGAAUUCCCGGUGUAGCGGUGAAAUGCGUAGAGAUCGGGAGGAAUACCAGUUGCGAAGGCGAUCUACUGGACUGACACUGACGCUGAGGUGCGAAAGCGUGGGUAGCAAACAGG